GUGCUUUCUUCGGCAGCACAGAUACUAAAACUGGAAUAAUACAGAGAAGAUUAGUAUGGCCCCUGCACAAGGAUUUCACGCAAAAAUAUAUAUGUGAUCAUCUUAUUA